UACGGGGGAUGCAAGCGUUAUCCGGAAUCAUUGGGCGUAAAGCGCCUGUAGGUUGUUUAUUAAGUCUGUUGUUAAAGCCUAGGGCUUAACCCUAGAGAAGCAGUGGAAACUGGUAGACUAGAGUAUGGCAGGGGUAGAGGGAAUUUCUAGUGUAGCGGUGAAAUGCGUAGAUAUUAGAAAGAACACCAGCGGCGAAGGCGCUCUACUGGACCAUCACUGACACUCAGAGGCGAAAGCUAGGGUAGCAAAAGGG
rnacentral:rRNA from 1 species